UGUGCAUUAAACUUGGUGCCUCCAUUGUGAGGUACUAGAAGAAGGCACAUUUGUCUAUCUCAAUCCACAUUAGCAAAAGCAAAUCUUUUUUGUGGUAUUUU